rnacentral:rRNA from 1 species
AAUAGAUACCCUGGUAGUCCACGCCGUAAACGAUGUCGACUAGCCGUUGGGGACCUUCGUGUCCUUGGUGGCGUAGCUAACGCGCUAAGUCGACCGCCUGGGGAGUACGGUCGCAAGAUUAAAACUCAAAUGAAUUGACGGGGGCCCGCACAAGCGGUGGAGCAUGUGGUUUAAUUCGACGCAACGCGAAGAACCUUACCAGGUCUUGACAUCCAGAGAACUUUCCAGAGAUGGAUUGGUGCCUUCGGGAACUCUGAGACAGGUGCUGCAUAGCUGUCGUCAGCUCGUGUCGUGAGAUGUUGGGUUAAGUCCCGUAACGAGCGCAACCCUUAUCCUUAUUUGCCAGCACGUCAUGGUGGGAACUUUAAGGAGACUGCCGGUGACAAACCGGAGGAAGGUGGGGAUGACGUCAAGUCAUCAUGGCCCUUACGACCUGGGCUACACACGUGCUACAAUGGAACGUACAGAGGGCUGCAACCCCGCGAGGGUGAGCUAAUCCCAGAAAGCGUUUCGUAGUCCGGAUUGGAGUCUGCAACUCGACU